GACGAACGCUGGCGGCGUGCUUAACACAUGCAAGUCGAGCGGUAAGGCCCUUUCGGGGGUACGACGAGCGGCGAACGGGUGAGUAACACGUGGGUGACCUGCCCUCAGCUCUGGGAGUAAGCCUGGGAAACCGGGUCUAAUACUGGAUAUGACUCCAUGACGCAUGUUGUGGGGUGGAAAGCCUUGUGCGGCUGAGGAUGGGCCCGCGGCCUAUCAGCUUGUUGGUGGGGUGAGGCCUACCAAGGCGACGACGGGUAGCCGGCCUGAGAGGGCGACCGGCCACACUGGGACGUGAGACACGGCCCAGACUCCUACGGGAGGCAGCAGUGGGGAAUCUUGCGCAAUGGGCGAAAGCCUGACGCAGCGACGCCGCGUGAGGGA
rnacentral:rRNA from 1 species